AACACAGAGAUUAUGUGUAUCGGCUUUGUGCUAUUAAUAAUGCACUUUGCUCAAGAGUGUUCUCUGCAAAAUUGAUAUCAUUGGGGAAGAUGGGCAGUUGUGUUUGAUCUAUUUCACUGGAAAUUUUCAACGAUCAUUUUCCCCACAUCU
rnacentral:snoRNA from 1 species